rnacentral:rRNA from 1 species
GGCGGCAGGCCUAAGACAUGCAAGUCGAACGGUAACGACACUAGCUUGCUAGUGGUCGACGAGUGGCGGACGGGUGAGUAACGCGUAGGAAUCUACCUAGUAGUGGGGGAUAGCCAAGGGAAACUUUGGGUAAUACCGCAUACGAUCUAAGGAUGAAAGGGGGCCUCUCUUUGAAGCUCUCGCUAUUAGAUGAGCCUGCGUAAGAUUAGCUUGUUGGUGGGGUAAUGGCCCACCAAGGCGACGAUCUUUAGCUGGUCUGAGAGGAUGAUCAGUCACACUGGAACUGAGACACGGUCCAGACUCCUACGGGAGGCAGCAGUCGGGAAUAUUGGACAAUGGGGGAAACCCUGAUCCAGCCAUGCCGCGUGUGUGAAGAAGGCCCUAGGGUUGUAAAGCACUUUUAGUAGUGAGGAAGGCUCAGUAGUUAAUACCUACUGGGAUUGACGUUAGCUACAGAAAAAGCACCGGCUAAUUUCGUGCCAGCAGCCGCGGUAAUACGAAAGGUGCAAGCGUUAAUCGGAAUUACUGGGCGUAAAGCGCGCGUAGGCGGCUUGGUAAGUUGGAUGUGAAAGCCCCGGGCUCAACCUGGGAACUGCAUCCAAAACUGCCUAGCUAGAGUAUGGUAGAGGAUGGCGGAAUUUCCUGUGUAGCGGUGAAAUGCGUAGAUAUAGGAAGGAACAUCAGUGGCGAAGGCGGCCAUCUGGACCAAUACUGACGCUGA